GACGAACGCUGGCGGCGUGCUUAACACAUGCAAGUCGAACGGAAAGGCCCUGCUUUUGUGGGGUGCUCGAGUGGCGAACGGGUGAGUAACACGUGAGUAACCUGCCCUUGACUUUGGGAUAACUUCAGGAAACUGGGGCUAAUACCGGAUAGGAGCUCCUGCUGCAUGGUGGGGGUUGGAAAGUUUCGGCGGUUGGGGAUGGACUCGCGGCUUAUCAGCUUGUUGGUGGGGUAGUGGCUUACCAAGGCUUUGACGGGUAGCCGGCCUGAGAGGGUGACCGGCCACAUUGGGACUGAGAUACGGCCCAGACUCCUACGGGAGGCAGCAGUGGGGAAUAUUGCACAAUGGGCGGAAGCCUGAGGCAGCAACGCCGCGUGCGGGAUGACGGCCUUCGGGUUGGAAACCGCUUUCGCCUGUGACGAAGCGUGAGGGACGGUAAUGGGUAAAGAAGCACCGGCUAACUACGG
rnacentral:rRNA from 1 species